CUGCCUCUAAACUGAGAAAGAUCACUGUAAGUAUGUAAUGUACAUGGAUUUUGCUUUUAUAUUUUAGAUUAUUUUAUAGGGAGUACAUUAUUCGUUUUUAUGUAUAAUACAAGCCUAUAGACACAUAACUUUUCACCCAACAAACUUAUUUCUUAUUUUUGUAGACCGUAAAGAGAAAAAGUAUAUUUGGGAAAUUCAACAUGACUGGCAAGCUUUUCGUUUUGGCCUUGCUGGGAGCAUUGGUGUUGGUGAAUGUUCAUGGCGAUGGUGAGGCACUCUCUUAUAAUAACGAUCACAACUAAGGCGGCAGAGUUCGUUUUUGGUGAAAACCAGAGUAUACGGAGUCGGAGAAGGACCCUGGUUUCCACAUGGACGAAAUGGUCGUAAAAAUAGAGUCACGAUCUUUCUCAACGGCCAGUCUAUAAUAGUUCAUACCCGUAAGCCACAUAUAUAAAAUCAUAAGUAUUCUCUAGUUAUAAAACUAAACAGUAUGAGUAAUCAGGCAUAUAUCAUUCUUAAUGUUUCAUCUACUCUCUAAAGGCCGUUUUCCACUAGGCGAAUUUUUUCGCGCGACGCGAAGCGAAAACCGAAAUCCGGCAACGUGAUUGGUCGGCGAAAAAAUUCGCGGCGAAAAAGUAGGAUCGCUUCCUACUUUUUAUCUGUUCGCGCGAAAAAAUUCGCCUAGUGGAAAACGGCCUUAAGUCUAACGGACGACGAUUUUACUCAUAAAAGGAAUAUCCUCAAAAAUAUUUCUUUAAUUGUAUAGACGAUUUCAAGGAAGUGGACAACAUGGACGAAGUAGAAAAUAUGGAACAAGAAAGUAAGAAAACUCUUCAUUUAAAGAGGUGUCCGUAUUAAAGAGGGCUCCGUAUUAGAGAGGUGUCCAUAUUAGAGCAGUGUCUGUAUUAGAGGUGUCUGUAUUAGAGCAGUGUCUGUAUUAGCCUGCGAACAGGCUCUCAAGCUGAAUUAUUAGAGAGGUGUCUGUAUUAGAGCAGUGUCUGUAUUAGAGAGGUUUCCGUAUUAGAGCAGUGUCUGUAUUAGAGAGGUGUCUGUAUUAGAGAGGUGUCUGUAUUAGAGAGGUGUCUGUAUUAGAGAGGUGUCUGUAUUAGAGAGGUGUCUGUAUUAGAGCAGUGUCUGUAUUAGAGAGGUGUCUGUAUUAGAGCAGUGUCUGUAUUAGAGAGGUGUCCGCUUUAGUGUCUCUUAUUCGAGAAGUGUCUGCAACGAGAGGUUAGACUGUACCACAAUUUAAGGUACCAUGGAUAUAUGAUGUCAUAUUCCCCUGAUGGCUUUGAAAUUCUUUGCUGAUCAUUUAUUUUCAGUUGAAGAUGAUGAAGAAAGUGAAACCAGGCAACCAAGAUCCCCAUUUAGAUUCAGAGGUUUCAGAAGAACAGGUAAGUUCAAACUGACAAGGGUAGAUGAUGAGUUAUGGUUAAAUCUUCAGAUAACCGAAACCUUGGGACAAAAGCUUGGUGUCUGUUGUUUGAGAGUGUCCUCUGUCUAUAUGUUAAUGUUUAACACAAGAUAUCUAUGGUUUGACAGUGUCCUCUGUCUAUAUGUUAAUGUUUGACAGUGUCCUCUGUCAAAAUGUUAUGCGAGUUAUGGUCAAAUCUUCAGAUAACGGAAACCUUGGGACAAAAGCUUGGUGUCUGUUGUUUGAGAGUGUCCUCUGUCUAUAUGUUAACAGACAAUAACUAGACAAAAAAGUGUACAAGAUACGGUGAUAACCAAGUGCUCUCCAAGUGCUACAAAUAAAAUCACUGCGCAAGGGCUCACUUUUCCCUCACUAGAAACUUCAUGCACGCCCCUGCAGAGGAAAGAGAUCUACAUCUGGAAUAAAGCUGAUUACAAACAAGCAAGUUUUAAUAUAGAGUCUUAUUUGCGCGUCUGCAUGGCCAAGUUUUUCUAUAACAAGUGCACUUGGUGAAAAGAAAGUCUACCGUACUUGUCAUUGAAACAAUUGCAAAGCACUGGACCGCGAGCAGUCCCUAGGGAGAAAGGAGGGACUGCCGACAACACUUGAAGAAACGAAAUACGCCCACUUUUCGCUCUUGUCAAGUCGGCUCCACCUUUGCAUAAACCGUUAAUGUCAUGUUUAUUUAUAAAAUCAACAUUCAGUCUGGAAAUUAUUGAUAGCAUAAUUACCACGUAACAGAUUUGAUUGACAGGCGUAUCGAUUUCGACCAAUGGGAAUUUUGCGUUGUGUGGGCAACGCGUAUUUCGUUUCUUGACGUGUUGUCGGCAGUCCUUCCUUUCUUUUCGCAUGCCCGGAAAUCUAAAGCCGCGGAAAGGAGGGACCACUCGCAGUCUAUAGCGCCAACUAGUUUCCUAUCCAGUUCUUUAACUAUUCAUACUUAUACACCCAGCAUCCGUUAUUAAAGAUUUUCACAGUAUUCAGCACUUCAUUUCUUGACUUGCUAUUUUCCAGGAACUCGUAGCGGAUGGCGAAGUACACGAUCAGGGACAAGAACUGGGGGUAAGCAACAGAGUCGGCACCAGCAGGGGGGGGGGAGCAUAUUAGGCUCGGUCGCCAGGAAGAGGAGGUAAGCAAUAAGGUUGGUCGCCAGGGGGUCAAAUAUGGUGACUGCCUCUCAACAAUGCUUUGGUUCACGAAAUGUUAAAGAGUGCUCAAUGUCAUAUAUAAUAGAGCAGAUAUAGUUGUUUUACCUUAAAAGGUUACCACAACGGCCUGUUUAUAGGACACCAAAGUAUUUCAAUGGAGGUUAAUAUUGAAAUUAACCCGUUGCCUCCUUAUUUAGGGGGAUUUUUCCGAAGAACCAGAAGCAGUACUGGUGGUGGUAGCUCAGGCUCAAGAAUUUUCCGAAGAAGCAGAACCAGUACUGGUGGUGGUAGCUCAGGCUCAAGAAUUUUUCGAAGAAGCAGAACCAGUGGUGGUGGUAGCUCAGGCUCCAGAAUUUUCCGAAGGAAUAGAAGUGGAACACGAACUGGCGGUGGUUCGAGCGGUAACAAUGGUGGAGGUAAAUCAAUAUUCUCCGUCCCAAGUUCAUCUAUUUUCCAUCUCGUAUCUCUACACACUUUUGUAAAAAAUGGACUUGAAAUGUUCAAAUUAGUCUACGCCGAAAAUUUCAUGUUGUCUGUUUUUGAGAUUUUAGAUUUUCCUAGACAUUUCACUGUAAAUCUGGAAUCUGUUGCUGCAGUGAAACAUGGGAAAACUAAAUUUUCAAAACACCAUACCUCGCUCUCUGACUGUUCAAAACAACGUGACAUUUUCGGUAUAUACUAAGUUGAGCAUGAAGAUUUCAAUUCUGGGCUCCAAUUCUGCCAAAUGUGAUGAAAAAUCGAUGACGUUAACCUUAGGUCAGACCGUUCAAAUUGUUGAAUUGGAACACAAAAAGUUUGGGCUUCGGACCUAUCUGACCGGAAAAUUUAGAUAACAUUAGGAUAAGGACAGGGACGCCGGAACGAUGUGAAGGCAAGGGGGGCAGAUUUUCGUGGAAGGGCACUUUUGAAUCGAUAUAUACUAAGAGAUGUUCGCAAAACAUCGGGAGUUGAACUUCGCCUAGUCAUGUUUUCUAUGUAUUGGAUGAUAGGGGUGUGAGGGGGUUCUCCGCCAGGCGAUUGUGCUAUUCUUGAAGCUCGAUGACUGCAUUUCUUGCGUUUUCUGAAGCAAAUUCGUAAAAGAAUUGCACUAACAUUUCUGACAACUCGCUAUUUCGCUAAGGCAAUCCUUUAAAUUGAAAGGGCACCUUUGCCCCCUCCCCCCCCUUGCCCCUAAGGGCAACGGAUAAGGAUAAGUUUGGAUAAGGAUGUUUGAGAAACAUAGACCAGAUCUUUCCAUUGAUACAGAGGAUGGAUACAAAAAUUCGAGUCUGACCGGUCAGGUCAUUAAAUGGAAAGCGCCCUUAGAUAGCAGAAUAAAGAUUUCUAGACCACACCUUGAUGAUGGUAUAUAUGGAUUAUAAAGGAAUAUAGUUUCCAUAUACUGUACUUUAAGUGUCGCAUGUUAAGUUUUUUGUUUGUGUGUUUAUGUAGGAACAGGAACAUGGGGUAAAAUUGGUACCGUCUUGGGCAUCGCACAACUGGGAGUUGAUCUUGCGACAGUCACUCUAAAUACAAUGUCGAGCGUUGAACGUAAAAUGGUCCUCUCCCUUGGGAACUUGGAAGGCGUUGAUUGGCAAGGUCUGCAACAACUUACAUUUCACCAUAUGUCAUUUUAUACCGUUUUUACGUGUGGUUGUUCAUGUUGCUUUUGCCGUUGUUCUUACUGGUGUUGUUGCUGUUGCCGUUGCUGUCUCUGCUGUUGUUGUUGUUGCUGUCGUUGUUGCUGUCUCUGUUGCUGUUGCUGUCUCUGUUGUUGUUGCUGUCGUUGUUGUUGCUGUUGUUGUUGUUGCUGUUGUUGUCGUUGUUGCUGUCUCUGUUGUUGUUGUUGUUGUUGCUGUCGUUGUUGCUGUCGUUAUUGUUGUCGUUGUUGUUGCUGUUGUUAUUGUUGUUGCCGUUGUUGUUGUCGUUGUUGUUGCUGUCGUUGUUGUUGCUGUUGUCAUAAUCGCUGUUGUUGUCGUCGACUUGUCGUCGCUGUCAUUUUUGUCGUUGCUGUUGUUGUGGUUGCAGUUAUUGCUGUUGUCUUUGCUGUCUCUGUUGUUGUUGUUGCUGUCGUUGUUUCUGUCGUCGCUGUUGUUGUUGUCAACUUGUCGUCGCUGUUGUUAUUGUCGUUGCUGUGGUUGCAGUUGCUGUUGUUGUUCUAUGUGGCAGAUUAUCAAAACAUCAAUAUUAAAACCUCCCUGCCCCAAUAGGUUUUGCUUAAAAGCCAGCCUAAUUUUUAGACUAUUUUUGGAGUUGAUAGCCACGUACUACAAGUUAAGAUGAUAGCAAGAAAAAUCAGCAGUUGAAGCGAAGAAUUCAGCAUUGUUGCAUCCAUUGUUAGUUCUUUAAGAGCAGGCUUUAAUGAUUUUAUUUCUUCAUAGGCGGCACGGUUUACAUGAACCAAGGAUCUUCUAUCAAAGCUAUACCCCUCGAAGUUGCGACCGAAGAAGGAGUACAAAUGGGAGGAGUAAAAACCACUGGACCUUCAGCAACUGGAGUGUCAGGUGCUUUGUGUUAUAGAUUCCAGCUUAUCGGGAAAUCGUUCUGCCUCAUGUUCAAAGUACCGUAUAGUGGCGCCAAUUAUUGGAAUGUGAAGGUUUACGACGGAGCAAAACAAGCAAGCGCAGAUAUCUAUAAUGAACUACAGAGUGGCGCCUUUAAAGCUGGUACUCCUGUUGCACAGAAAGAUAUUGGGGCAGGAGAGGGUUAUAAGAUCUACAUGAAAGAUUGCUCCAUGACAAAUUCUGGCCAAGCAGUCUUGCAAGUGUACCUUGGAUUGCAAGAAACUUAAUCCAAUAUGGAACCAAAGAUUAACGGGAAAAACUUUGCUUUAGUUGCUUUGAAAACAGUUCUAUUGAAUUGGGAAAUUAGGUUAAGACCUGAUUUCAGUUAAACUGUAAAUGUUUGCAUAGAAUAAAUUUGCUUUCCCGAAAAUACUCUGUG